rnacentral:rRNA from 1 species
UACGAAGGGGGCUAGCGUUGUUCGGAAUUACUGGGCGUAAAGGGCGCGUAGGCGGCUUGGCAAGUUGGGUGUGAAAGCCCAGGGCUCAACCCUGGAACUGCACUCAAGACUGCCUUGCUUGAAUUCGGUAGAGGCUGGUGGAAUUCCCAGUGUAGAGGUGAAAUUCGUAGAGAUUGGGAAGAACACCCGUGGCGAAGGCGGCCAACUGGACCGACAUUGACGCUGAGGCGCGAAAGCGUGGGGAUCAAACAGG